rnacentral:rRNA from 1 species
UACAGAGGGUGCGAGCGUUAAUCGGAAUUACUGGGCGUAAAGCGUGCGUAGACGGUUAUUUAAGUCGGGUGUGAAAGCCCCGGGCUCAACCUGGGAAUUGCAUUCGAGACUGAAUAGCUAGGGUACGGUAGAGGGAAGUGGAAUUUCCGGUGUAGCGGUGAAAUUCGUAGAUAUCGAGAGGAACACCGGUGGCGAAGGCGGCCUUCUGGACAGCAACUGACGCUGAGACGCGAAAGCGUGGGGAGCAAACAGG